rnacentral:rRNA from 1 species
UACGUAGGAGGCAAGCGUUGUCCGGAGUUACUGGGCGUAAAGGGCCCGCAGGCGGUGGAGUAAGUUUGGAGUGACAGUUCCCAGCUUAACCGGGAAAGGACUUCGAAAACUGCUCGACUUGAGGACUGGAGAGGAAGGCGGAAUUCCGGGUGGAGCGGUGAAAUGCGUAGAGAUCCGGAGGAACACCGACGGCGAAGGCAGCCUUCUGGAAAGUACCUGAACGCUGAGGGGCGAAAGCUAGGGGAGGCGAAACGGGAUUGAGAUACCC